GGCGAACCGUCCGAACGUUAUUCGGAAUUACUGGGCUUAAAGGGUGCGUAGGCGGCGCGGAAAGUAGGGUGUGAAAUCCCUCGGCUCAACCGAGGAACUGCGUCCUAAACUACCGUGCUCGAGGGAGAUAGAGGUGAGCGGAACUUAGGGUGGAGCGGUGAAAUGCGUUGAUAUCCUAAGGAACACCGGUGGCGAAAGCGGCUCACUGGAUCUCUUCUGACGCUGAGGCACGAAAGCUAGGGUAGCGAACGGG
rnacentral:rRNA from 1 species